rnacentral:rRNA from 1 species
AUUUUCUUUAAAUUUAAAGAAUUUGGCGGUAGUUUAGUCUAGUCAGAGGAACCUGCUUAUUAAAUCGAUAAAACACGUAGGAUCUUACUUAUUUUUGUUUAGUUUGUAUACCGUCAUUAGCAGAUAAUUUUGGAGAAAAUAGAAUUAUUAAAUUUAAUUGUUAUUAGAAAAAUUAGAUCAAGGUGCAGCUUAUAAAUAAGGUCAAGUGGGUUACAAUAAGGUUUACUUAAAAUGGAGUAAAAUAGUUAGGAUUUUAUGAAGGGGGAUUUGAUUGUAUUGAAAGUUUAAUAUGCUUAAG